rnacentral:rRNA from 1 species
UACGUAGGGUACGAGCGUUAAUCGGAAUUACUGGGCGUAAAGUGUGCGCAGGCGGCCGCGCAAGUCGAGUGUGAAAGCCCCGGGCUUAACUUGGGAAUUGCGCUCGAAACUACGUGGCUGGAGUAUGGCAGAGGAAGGUGGAAUUCCACGUGUAGCGGUGAAAUGCGUAGAGAUGUGGAGGAACACCGAUGGCGAAGGCAGCCUUCUGGGCCAAUACUGACGCUCAUGCACGAAAGCGUGGGGAGCAAACAGG